rnacentral:rRNA from 1 species
AUGCACGCUGGCGGCGUGCCUAAUCCAUGCAAGUCGAGCGAACGGACGAGAAGCUUGCUUCUCUGAUGUUAGCGGCGGACGGGUGAGUAACACGUGGAUAACCUACCUAUAAGACUGGGAUAACUUCGGGAAACCGGAGCUAAUACCGGAUGAUAUUUUGAACCGCCUGGUUCAAAAGUGAAAGACGGUCUUGCUGUCACUUAUAGAUGGAUCCGCGCUGCAUUAGCUAGUUGGUAAGGUAACGGCUUACCAAGGCAACGAUGCAUAGCCGACCUGAGAGGGUGAUCGGCCACACUGGAACUGAGACACGGUCCAGACUCCUACGGGAGGCAGCAGUAGGGAAUCUUCCGCAAUGGGCGAAAGCCUGACGGAGCAACGCCGCGUGAGUGAUGAAGGUCUUCGGAUCGUAAAACUCUGUUAUUAGGGAAGAACAUAUGUGUAAGUAACUGUGCACAUCUUGACGGUACCUAAUCAGAAAGCCACGGCUAACUACGUG